CGGCUUUUAUCUUAUUAGAGGAACUUGUCUAACAAUCGAUAUACCCCGAUAAAUUUCACUUUAAUUAAAAAUUUAUAUAUCGCCAUCAUAAGAAAUAAUUUAAAAACUUUUUCAAAAAAAAAAAUAACAUGUUAGGUCAAGGUGUAAUCAACAUUAAAGGUAAGAUGAGUUACAUUAAACAUAAUUUAUGAAUUAUAUCUUAUUAUAAAUAUUUAAAAAAGGAUUUAUAAGUAAAUUUUCAAUAAUAUUAUUACUUGAACUAGAUAAUAAAAGUGC
rnacentral:rRNA from 1 species